rnacentral:rRNA from 1 species
UUAGUCCUACGGGGCGCAGCAGUAGGGAAUCUUCCACAAUGGACGAAAGUCUGAUGGAGCAACGCCGCGUGAGUGAAGAAGGGUUUCGGCUCGUAAAGCUCUGUUGGGAGGGAAGAAAGAUAGAGGUAGUAACCGGCCUUUAUUUGACGGUAAUUACUUAGAAAGUCACGGCUAACUACGUGCCAGCAGCCGCGGGAAUACGUAGGUGGCAAGAGUUGUCCGGAUUUAUUGGGCGUAAAGCGAGCGCAGGUGGUUUAUUAAGUCUGGUGUAAAAGGCAGGGGCUCAACC